rnacentral:rRNA from 1 species
UACGUAGGGUGCGAGCGUUAAUCGGAAUUACUGGGCGUAAAGCGUGCGCAGGCGGCGCGUUAAGACAGGUGUGAAAGCCCCGAGCUUAACUUGGGAAUUGCGCUUGUGACUGGCGUGCUGGAGUGUGGCAGAGGGAGGUGGAAUUCCACGUGUAGCAGUGAAAUGCGUAGAGAUGUGGAGGAACACCGAUGGCGAAGGCAGCCUCCUGGGCCAACACUGACGCUCAUGCACGAAAGCGUGGGGAG